rnacentral:rRNA from 1 species
GACGAACGCUGGCGGCGUGCUUAACACAUGCAAGUCGAACGGAAAGGCCCUGCUGUUGUGUGGUGCUCGAGUGGCGAACGGGUGAGUAACACGUGAGUAACCUGCCGUUGACUUUGGGAUAACUACAGGAAACUGGGGUUACUAACGGAUAGGAGCUCCUGCUGCAUGGUGGGGGUGGGAAAGUGUCGGCGGUUGGUGAUGGACGCGCGGCUGAUCAGCUUGUUGGUGGGGGAGUGGCUUACCAAGGCGUUGACGGGUAGCCGGCCUGAGAGGGUGGCCGGCCACAUUGGUCCUGCGGUACGGACCAGACUGCUACGGGAGGCAGCAGUGGGGAACCUGGUACAAUGGGCGGACGCCUGAUGAAGAAACGCUGCGUGCGGGAUGACGGCCUUCGGGUUGUGAACCGAUUUCGCCUGUGACGAAGCGUGAGUGACGGUAAUGGGUGAAGAAGCACCGGCUAACUACGUG